AGAAUUUGUCCUGAAGCUCUUACACUUGUCUUCCUGCUGUGAUAUUUAUUUUUCUCUGAACCUGGUUCCCUUUUAUUGUAUUUGAAGAUUUAGGGGGCCUGAAGGGGGACAUCUGAAGAGAGAUAAACUGCACGUGUGGGUUCUAUGCAGACAUGUAGACCUGAGAAAGUUGGAUGUCUCCUCCACAUCCAUGGAAAGGGAAUCUCCAAAUGUAAAAUUCAGAUUUGGAAAGAGGAAACAAAAAGAAAAAAAAAGAACAUGUUGAAAUGCAACACAGAGAUCCGGAAGAAGCUGUUGAGUAUUUGGCUUUGUGCCUUUUCAAGUAUG